GAAUUCACUAGUGAUUCAGGCCUAACACAUGCAAGUCGAGCGGUAGAGAGAAGCUUGCUUCUCUUGAGAAAGGCGGACGGGUGAGUAAUGCCUAGGAAUCUGCCUGGUAGUGGGGGAUAACGUUCGGAAGCGGACGGUAAUACCGCAUACGUCCUACGGGAGAAAGCAGGGGACCUUCGGGCCUUGCGCUAUCAGAUGAGCCUAGGUCGGAUUAGCUAGUUGGUGAGGUAAUGGCUCACCAAGGCGACGAUCCGUAACUGGUCUGAGAGGAUGAUCAGUCACACUGGAACUGAGACACGGUCCAGACUCCUACGGGAGGCAGCAGUGGGGAAUAUUGGACAAUG
rnacentral:rRNA from 1 species